rnacentral:ncRNA from 13 species
GCAGGUGUAGUUUAAUGGCAGAACUUCAGCCUUCCAAGCUGAUUGUGAGGGUUCGAUUCCCUUCACCUGCU